rnacentral:rRNA from 1 species
AGGGGAUUAGUGGCGAACGGGUGAGUAACACGUGGGCAAUCUGCCCUUCACUCUGGGACAAGCCCUGGAAACGGGGUCUAAUACCGGAUAAUACUGCGGAUCGCAUGGUCUGCGGUUGAAAGCUCCGGCGGUGAAGGAUGAGCCCGCGGCCUAUCAGCUUGUUGGUGGGGUGAUGGCCUACCAAGGCGACGACGGGUAGCCGGCCUGAGAGGGCGACCGGCCACACUGGGACUGAGACACGGCCCAGACUCCUACGGGAGGCAGCAGUGGGGAAUAUUGCACAAUGGGCGAAAGCCUGAUGCAGCGACGCCGCGUGAGGGAUGACGGCCUUCGGGUUGUAAACCUCUUUCAGCAGGGAAGAAGCGAAAGUGACGGUACCUGCAGAAGAAGCGCCGGCUAACUACGUGCCAGCAGCCGCGGUAAUACGUAGGGCGCAAGCGUUGUCCGGAAUUAUUGGGCGUAAAGAGCUCGUAGGCGGCUUGUCGCGUCGGAUGUGAAAGCCCGGGGCUUAACCCCGGGUCUGCAUUCGAUACGGGCAGGCUAGAGUGUGGUAGGGGAGAUCGGAAUUCCUGGUGUAGCGGUGAAAUGCGCAGAUAUCAGGAGGAACACCGGUGGCGAAGGCGGAUCUCUGGGCCAUUACUGACGCUGAGGAGCGAAAGCGUGGGGAGCGAACAGGAUUAGAUACCCUGGUAGUCCACGCCGUAAACGUUGGGAACUAGGUGUUGGCGACAUUCCACGUCGUCGGUGCCGC